AAGACCUUGCGCUUUUGGAGCGGCCGAUGCCUGAUUAGCUUGUUGGUAAGGUAAAAGCUUACCAAGGCUUCGAUCAGUAGCUGGUCUGAGAGGACGGCCAGCCACACUGGGACUGAGACACGGCCCAGACUCCUACGGGAGGCAGCAGUGGGGAAUUUUGGACAAUGGGGGCAACCCUGAUCCAGCCAUGCCGCGUGAGUGAAGAAGGCCUUCGGGUUGUAAAGCUCUUUCAGCCGGAACGAAACGGUUACGGUUAAUACCCGUGAUUACUGAUGGUACUGGAAGAAGAAGCACCGGCUAACUACGUGCCAGCAGCCGCGGUAAUACGUAGGGUGCGAGCGUUAAUCGGAAUUACUGGGCGUAAAGCGUGCGCAGGUGGUUUUGUAAGUCAGAUGUGAAAUCCCCGGGCUCAACCUGGGAACU
rnacentral:rRNA from 1 species